rnacentral:rRNA from 1 species
UACGUAGGGGGCGAGCGUUGUCCGGAUUUAUUGGGCGUAAAGAGCGUGUAGGCGGCCAGGUAGGUCUGCUGUGAAAACUCGAGGCUCAACCUCGAGACGUCGGCGGAAACCAUCUGGCUAGAGUCCGGAAGAGGAGAGUGGAAUUCCUGGUGUAGCGGUGAAAUUCGUAGAUAUUGGGAAGAACACCGAUGGCGAAGGCAGCCAUCUGGACCGACACUGACGCUGAGGCGCGAAAGCGUGGGGAGCAAACAGG